rfam:Capsicum annuum cultivar Zunla-1 chromosome 3, whole genome shotgun sequence
ACCUCAUAAUUAGGACAAUGCAAGAGUUUUCCAUUGAAUCUUUCCCAUGCCUCGUACAAGUGUUCCCCAUUCAAUUGUCUAAAGUUUAUCAUCUCAUCCCAUAAUUU